GAUGAACGCUGGCGGCGUGCUUAACACAUGCAAGUCGAACGGAGCUUAGAAGGAAGCUUGCUUUCAUUUAAGCUUAGUGGCGGACGGGUGAGUAACGCGUGAGCAACCUGCCCUCGAGUGGGGAAUAACAUCGAGAAAUCGGUGCUAAUACCGCAUAAUGUCGAGAGACCGCAUGAUCUUUCGACCAAAGGAUUUAUUCGCUUGAGGAUGGGCUCGCGUCCGAUUAGUUAGUUGGUGAGGUAACGGCCCACCAAGACUUCGAUCGGUAGCCGAACUGAGAGGUUGAUCGGCCACAUUGGGACUGAGACACGGCCCAGACUCCUACGGGAGGCAGCAGUGGGGAAUAUUGGGCAAUGGGCGAAAGCCUGACCCAGCAACGCCGCGUGAAGGAUGAAGGUCUUCGGAUUGUAAACUUCUUUGA
rnacentral:rRNA from 1 species